UACGGGGGGGGCAAGCGUUGUUCGGAAUUACUGGGCGUAAGCGUGCGCAGGCGGCUUUGCAAGACAGAUGUGAAAUCCCCGGGCUUAACCUGGGAACUGCAUUUGUGACUGCAUGGCUGGAGUGCGGCAGAGGGGAUGGAAUCCGGCGUGUAGCAGUGAAAUGCGUAGAUAUGCGGAGGAACACCGAUGGCGAAGGCAGCCCCCUGGGUUAACACUGACGCUCAGGCACGAAAGCGUGGGGAGCAAACAGG
rnacentral:rRNA from 1 species